CAGGCUUAACACAUGCAAGUCGAGGGGCAGCAUGGUCUUAGCUUGCUAAGGCCGAUGGCGACCGGCGCACGGGUGAGUAACACGUAUCCAACCUGCCGUCUACUCUUGGACAGCCUUCUGAAAGGAAGAUUAAUACAAGAUGGCAUCAUGAGUCCGCAUGUUCACAUGAUUAAAGGUAUUCCGGUAGACGAUGGGGAUGCGUUCCAUUAGAUAGUAGGCGGGGUAACGGCCCACCUAGUCUUCGAUGGAUAGGGGUUCUGAGAGGAAGGUCCCCCACAUUGGAACUGAGACACGGUCCAAACUCCUACGGGAGGCAGCAGUGAGGAAUAUUGGUCAAUGGGCGAGAGCCUGAACCAGCCAAGUAGCGUGAAGGAUGACUGCCCUAUGGGUUGUAAACUUCUUUUAUAAAGGAAUAAAGUCGGGUAUGGAUACCCGUUUGCAUGUACUUUAUGAAUAAGGAUCGGCUAACUCCGUGCCAGCAGCCGCGGUAAUACGGAGGAUCCGAGCGUUAUCCGGAUUUAUUGGGUUUAAAGGGAGCGUAGAUGGAUGUUUAAGUCAGUUGUGAAAGUUUGCGGCUCAACCGUAAAAUUGCAGUUGAUACUGGAUAUCUUGAGUGCAGUUGAGGCAGGCGGAAUUCGUGGUGUAGCGGUGAAAUGCUUAGAUAUCACGAAGAACUCCGAUUGCGAAGGCAGCCUGCUAAGCUGCAACUGACAUUGAGGCUCGAAAGUGUGGGUAUCAAACAGGAUUAGAUACCCUGGUAGUCCACACGGUAAACGAUGAAUACUCGCUGUUUGCGAUAUACUGCAAGCGGCCAAGCGAAAGCGUUAAGUAUUCCACCUGGGGAGUACGCCGGCAACGGUGAAACUCCAAGGAAUUGACGGGGGCCCGCACAAGCGGAGGAACAUGUGGUUUAAUUCGAUGAUACGCGAGGAACCUUACCCGGGCUUAAAUUGCAGAUGAAUUACGGUGAAAGCCGUAAGCCGCAAGGCAUCUGUGAAGGUGCUGCAUGGUUGUCGUCAGCUCGUGCCGUGAGGUGUCGGCUUAAGUGCCAUAACGAGCGCAACCCUUGUUGUCAGUUACUAACAGGUUCCGCUGAGGACUCUGACAAGACUGCCAUCGUAAGAUGUGAGGAAGGUGGGGAUGACGUCAAAUCAGCACGGCCCUUACGUCCGGGGCUACACACGUGUUACAAUGGGGGGUACAGAGGGCCGCUACCACGCGAGUGGAUGCCAAUCCCCAAAACCUCUCUCAGUUCGGACUGGAGUCUGCAACCCGACUCCACGAAGCUGGAUUCGCUAGUAAUCGCGCAUCAGCCACGGCGCGGUGAAUACGUUCCCGGGCCUUGUACACACCGCCCGUCAAGCCAUGGGAGCCGGGGGUACCUGAAGUGCGUAACCGCGAGGAGCGCCCUAGGGUAAAACUGGUGACUGGGGCU
rnacentral:rRNA from 1 species